UGUGAUGGAAAGUGUGAGGAAUAUUAAUGCAGUAUAUGGGGAUCGGACGGUAAGCAUAAGCCAGUGUCAACAAUGGAUCCAGAAAUUCUGAACCGGAAACAACAAUCUACAAGAUGGGCCUCAUCCUGGAAGAUUUGUAGAGUUCGAUGAGGAUGUCCUGCAAACCCUGGUGGAAGAACAUCCCAUUGUAACUGUUGAGAAACUAGGAAAGAAGCUUGGAUUUGGUCGUUUAACCAUUCAUCAACAUCAGCGCUAGAAGGAAAAUGACCAUCUUUGGUUUCAGGACAAAAGGUGUCCUUCCAUCAGGAUGAUGCUCACCCACAUAUAGCAAGGAUGACUUUCCAAAGGCUGCAGUAGUUUGAAUGGGAAACAAUGUCCCACCUACCAUAUUCAUCAGAGAGUGUCCCAUCUGAUUAUCAUUUAUUCCUGUCUUCAAAAUCAUUUGGAUGGAAAAAAUAUGAAUUCUGUAGAUGAGGUCAGAAC